rnacentral:rRNA from 1 species
GACGAACGCUGGCGGCGUGCCUAAUACAUGCAAGUAGAACGCUGAAGAGAGGAGCUUGCUCUUCUUGGAUGAGUUGCGAACGGGUGAGUAACGCGUAGGUAACCUGCCUUGUAGCGGGGGAUAACUAUUGGAAACGAUAGCUAAUACCGCAUAACAAUGGAUGACACAUGUCAUUUAUUUGAAAGGGGCAAUUGCUCCACUACAAGAUGGACCUGCGUUGUAUUAGCUAGUAGGUGAGGUAAUGGCUCACCUAGGCGAAGAUACAUAGCCGACCUGAGAGGGGGAGCGGCCAAACUGGGACUGAGACACGGGCCAGACCCCUACGGGAGGCAGCAGUAGGGAAUCUUCGGCAAUGGGGGCAACCCUGACCGAGCAACGCCGCGUGAGUGAAGAAGGUUGUCGGAUCGUAAAGCUCUGUUGUAAGUCAAGAACGGGUGUGAGAGUGGAAAGUUCACACUGUGACGGUAGCUGACCAGAAAGGGACGGCUAACUACGUG